ensembl:lncRNA
AUGGACAUGCCUUUAAUUCGAAAGUGGUGGUGUCUUCUUCUGAUGGAGCGCUUCAAAAUAGAAGGGCAUGGUCAGCGGUUUGCCUUCUGGACUGAUGAGGCCAGAAGCUUGGUCCAAGGAGCUCUUCAGCCUGUCUCCCGAGUGCCAAGACUGAGUGCUGUCUCUGAGAAGGUCCCAGUCCACAUUGAGUCUGUGGAUCACCGCACCACAGAAGAAAAGAGACUGGUGGACUUUAUAGGAGAGUUACAGGGAUCUGAGGAGCAUUUGGUGGUACUAUUGUAUCUUUUGACUAUUCUGCAAAUUAUUGUAUCUUUAUCUUAAAAGUAUACAUUUCUUAUAAAUAACUGUUUUUGUACCAUGGUUUGUCCAUAAGGGUGUACUCAACGGGAAGCCCUCUAAGUGGUUACAUAAGGUAACCUCUUCCCGGGUGCCUGUCUACCUCGACAGUGAGGAACAGCAGGACAUCCUGUUUUCAUAUCUGAGAGGAGUGCUGGGUAGGACACCAACACAACUGAGCUUCACAGAUGAAGUGCAGUUCAUCUGUGGUGUUCUUUUUCCGGAGGUAUGCCAGUCCAUGUAAUGAUUUUGUUUGUGUCCUUAGACUUACAAAGCUACUGUAUAAACUACAUACUGGUGCUACUCGUGUAUGGCCCAUGUUUAAUAGCUUGCUGUUCAGUAGUGCUAUAACAGUACAUUUAUAUUAAUGUUUUUCAUAGGCCAUCAUAUAUGCCCUGGCUGCCCUCCAGAAUUUGUCCUUGCAGGAGGCUGAGCAGGUCUUCAUUUCUGGUCCAGAUUAUCAUUUCAGGUCAGAGUACAAUAUGAAUAAUUGUUGCACAAUACCCAGUGCACCAUUUUGCUACUGAUAUUUCUAUUAUCACAAAAAUGAUUGUUCUCUGAUAACUAUUUCAGUGAAGUGGAAGAAUUUAAUAGAAAGAUUGACAAACAAUUGAGGAAAGAAGGGAGAUCAUUCAGUUGGUGGGUAUUGUUCUUAUGUACUUGCACAUUUGAAGUCUGUAAUUAGAUGUCAGUAACAUGAAUAUUCUGUUUGACUCUCUCUCUAAAACUCCCAACAGUGCAUAAGUGUUUAAUCAUAUAUAUAUAUAUAUAUAUAUAUAUAUAUAUAUAUAUAUAUAUAUAUAUAUAUAUCUAUAUAUUCAUUCUCCAGUUGAAUAUGUUAAACAAAUGUUUCUUAUUUAUCUCUCUCACUCUCUCCAUCUCUCGGUCUCUCUUUCUCUAGAGUUGAAGCCUACAGCCAGAUGGGAAAGGGGUUCGUUUUAGUGCUGUAAAAAAAAAAAAAAAAAAAUAUAUAUAUAUAUAUAUAUAUAUAUAUAUAUAUAUAUAAACAUUCUUGAAUCAUUGUUGUGUCUUGUCUUGUCUCACAACAACCUUUAAAAUAUCUGCUGUAAUUUAGUGACUCCAUAUGCUGAUUCCAACUUUAACUUACCUGAUAAUGAGCUAAUUCACCUUAAGGAGGUUAAUAAAUAUACUGUAUAAUUCAAGAGACUAAGACUUUUAAGGUUCUCCAUUUUUUACAAUUGUUUUAAAAUGUAUAUACAUUUUUCAUUUAUAUUUUGUGUAGAUUCAUGUUUAAAUUUAAAAUUGUGACUCAAAGCACACUUAGUAAUUAACCUCUGCUGCAUUUUGAAUCAAAAAUCACAUUUAAAAACAAAUGCUACUGAGAUUAACAUAUUGAUGCUAUAUACAAACAUGACUACAAACUAAACCAACAGGGUCCUAGAAGUGCGGUCCUGAAACUGCAGCCAUCACUUUAGUCCAGUACGGUAGGUGGCGCUGUCACAAAAAACUAGGGUUCUAGAACGGAGGUCCUAGAUCUGCGGUCCUGAAACUGCAGCCUCCGGUUGUGCAGGAACAUACUAUUGCGUUUAUCAGGUGUGUGUCAGCGCUGCUGCAGCAGAUGAGGACUGUUUAAAACUCUUUUCCCACUAAAACUUCGAUGCGCAUUCUCUCAAUGCGUGAACAUAACAAAAGAUGUGAAUGCAAAACAACCAGGAAAAAAGGCAUUACAUGCAAUUUUUUAAGAGAUAACAUGUAAAUACAUAUGCCUAGUCGCCAGUGGCGACCUCAGCAAAAACUUCACUCGCAUUUUAAUAUUUAUGGUCGCAAAUGCAACCGUUUUAGUCGCAGUUUGGAGCCCUGUAAAACAUACAUGAUACUGAAGAUAUAUGUGAGGUAAAUACUGGUAAUCAAUUCAGCUUAUUGGAAGCAAUUUUGAGGCCGUUGCUUGUAUUAAACCACAAGUGGGUUAAUUUCAGUCUGUUGGUUUUGGAGACAAAGUCUCUGGAAUUUAUAGCUGCAGAAAAGAGGUGUCCCUUUUUUAAGGUUUGUGGUGAUCCUGGGCAAUAGGAAUGCCUUAGCGUCCUUUCCCAACAAACAUGAGACGUCUAUAGGACGUGCAGAUCAAGUCUAAAUUGAGUCGGUCGGUCUGGACCAUAUCUGGACGUCUCCUCGACUUGCAAAUCCGGUUCAUAUCUGGACGUCGAACUACGACGUCCCUUGGACGUCGAUAUGAGGUUCAAAAUUUGAACGUCGGGCGAAGGAUUUUCUUGGACGUCUGAAGAACUUGCAGAACAGGGUAAGUUUUUAUUUAUUUAUAUAUAAACACAAAUCAAUCCUUUGAUUUCUGAAUUAAAUAUCACAUGUAGCCUAUACUCUUCUGAAACAUCUAGGUGUUAAAUGAAUGUAAUAUAUAAAUGUUUAAAAACAAAGGCCUAAUUAAAGUACCAUAAUGUGACCAUAUACAAUCUUACAUGUAUUUAUUUAUUUAUUUGAGUGGUAUUUUUCACUGGAGCAUUGGCAGAAAAGCAGUUUUCAUCUAGAUCUAAAUAUAGUUAACUAAAGUUAAAUAGAUUAAAAUAUUAAUGUUUAAUAUAUUUUAAUAGACAAUUAGAUUGUAAUUAUAUUAUAUCAUAUUAAAUAAUAAAUAUUUAAUACAUAGAUUUAAAUGAAAUGAAAUACAGUGUAUUUAAACGUGCGCUCGCCACGAGGGGCAUUAACGUGAUGUUACGUUAGUGACGUAAAAGUGAUGGCAGAAAAAAAAAACAGUAAACGUGAUGGCGCAAACAAUCCCGGACCGUGUACUUGUUGGCCAACGGAUUUUCGUUUUAAAAGGAAAAAAACGAAAACGAAAAACGGCUCGUUUCCCAAUUUCCAUUAGUAAAUAGGAAAACAAAAAACGGAAAUCAAUCCAUUUUUCUUUUUUUCUUUUGAUAUUAAAGACGGAAAACGGAAAACAAUCUCGUUAUCCGAUUGUGUUUAUAGAUGGAAAUCGGAAAUCAAAAUAUGUAUGUAUGAACUAAUCCUGC